AUGAGAUACCAUCUCACACUUGUCAGAAUGGCUAUCAUGUACAGAGAAGAUUAGCAUGGCCCCUGCGCAAGGAUGACACGCAAACUCGUGAAGCGUUCCAUAUUUAA